AGAGGAGCUCCUCUCCUGCUGCUUGCUUGCUUCCGGUGGAUUUCUUGAGCGGAGGGGAGAGAGCAGGAGGAGGAAGGCGCUGCGGUUGGCCACUGCCGGAAACUCGGCAAGGGGAGGGGGGCUGGAGCGCAGAUCGAUCGAUGCGCGACUGCGAGGGGAGGAAGCGGAUGGGGAGGUGGAGGUGGAGGAGGAGGGGCUGCGUUCUUGCUCGAUCGGAGGCCGGGGGCUGUGGGAGUGGGCGGUCAACCGGCCGAGAUUCCAUCGACCAUUGUAAGGGAAGGCACCGCACGACGCAGCACCAAGGGAGGAAGCCCUGAGAAUGGCGGUUUGGUGGGGGCCAAGCGCUCGCACGUGCCGGCAACACGGCGUUCUAAAUUCCCCGGCCGUCACUGUGUGGUGCAACCUUUACUUCUUUUCCUUUCUAUUACGCGACAGUGCACCUGCCCCUUUGUUUUCAGUCUACAGGAUAAUUCGUUUCAACGCCGCAGCGACCGAACCACCCAUGUUGCCGUCGGCCGUGGCUACAAAUUUUGUAUACAUGUGCAUAAGAAUUCUACCUCAAGAAACAAAUUGUACUCGACCAUAUGCCUGUGAAGAUUUAUAUGGCCAAUUAAGAUAGACUCUGUAUUAUAAUUAGGAAUGAAAACUAUAAAUAUGCCA